rnacentral:rRNA from 1 species
GACGUAGGGCGCGAGCGUUGUCCGGAUUUAUUGGGCGUAAAGAGCUCGUAGGCGGUUUGUCGCGUCUGCCGUGAAAGCCCGGGGCUCAACUCCGGAUCUGCGGUGGGUACGGGCAGACUAGAGUGAUGUAGGGGAGACUGGAAUUCCUGGUGUAGCGGUGAAAUGCGCAGAUAUCAGGAGGAACACCGAUGGCGAAGGCGGUGGUCUGGGCCGGUACUGACGCUGAGGAGCAAAAGCGUGGGGAGCGAACAGG